rnacentral:tRNA from 1 species
GGGCGCGUAGCUCAGCGGGAGAGCGCUCGCUUCACACGCGAGAGGUCGCAGGUUCGAACCCUGCCGCGCCCA